AGGUGCCUCGUAGUGAAUUUUCCCCUGUGUGUUUUGCCAAAAAGCUGGAUGAAUGGGUCCCUGGAAUAAAUGGAAGAGAGCAGGGUGGGCCUUCCAUUCCUUGCUCCAUUAGGGGUUUUCAGCUGCCAAGAUAGAGGUAGCUAGGUAAUUAGGCUGCAGUUGAGCUGCAGUUAAAAAGACAUGUGAGACUUCAGCUCAGGGCUGCUUCCCCUGGAUACCUCCUGGAGCUGAAGGAUAGUGAGGGGCCGUGGACACCUCCAAGUGCAUAAAGGUGUGAUUGUGUGUGUAGCUGGGAAAGAGUGUGUUUCCCUGCUGACCUGAAAGUUGGAGAGAGCUUCAAAGGACUGGAGAGAAGAAGAGAGAAACCCUCCCAGAGACUGAGUGACAAGUGUGAGUCCAAGAGAGGAUUCUGGGACUGUGUAUGGUGAAAACUAUUCAAAGAGACAAAUGGCAGCAGAUGAAAGUUAUAUCCACCACUGUAAUGAAAUGGGAUUAUUAGUUCCCUGACUUACUUCAACUCUCUUGUUCUGUGGUUGAUUGGAACAGCAAGCCACCCUGAAAACACUGGAUUGUGUAUUUCUAUACUAAUACAAUGAGCACCAUGUAUCUGUCACUAAGUGCACUUUUAUAUGUGACCCUUGAGUAUUUUUGUUUCUGAAUUAAGGUCAAGACUUGACAUGGACAAGGCAAACAGAGCCCCAGUUUAUAUUCAUUGGAUUUUAUGAGCAGCCCCGCUGUCAGUGUUGUUAACAACUAAUGUGUGUUGUAUUGGCUGCUUCUCAAACUAUUACUAAAAUGCCCUAGUCACAGAUCACUAUUUAGCACAUGGCCAACAAGUACACACAACUGCACUUCAUUUUAUUCCCUUGUAGAUUUGUGUAGGAAACAAAGGGCCACAUUAUUAACCCAAGAACAGCUAAGGUGAAUAGCAGGCCCGAUGGCAAUACAACAUUUACUGAAUAGGAUGGCAACAGCCUGAAAGGCCUUUCUUUAAGCUCAGAGUCAAAGACAAACAGAUCAGAUGAAAUUUGUUUGCCUCUGCUAAUGAGUCCUAGGCAACUAAGCUAUGGGUCAGACCUGAAGAUUUAUUAAAUGUCCAAAUUGACGGCCAAAAACAAGGAAAGAUAUAGCACUCACUAUAAUUAAAGUGCCAUAUUUCAUCUGAAAGUAAAGACAGUGUUCAACAGCAUUAAAGGAAGAAAACUUAACCGUGUUUAUAGAGAAGCAGCCAGAUCAAACUUGCCAGGAAUUUGUGCAAGAAACUUGUUUUAAUGCAAAUACUUAAAAUUAAUGGUUUUAAUAAGCCACCAUUUGUGUCCAUUUUAGUGUUAUCACUAAGCAUUUACACAUUUAUUGUAUCUAACACUAAAUAUGUACUGUAUGUGUAAUUUUAUUUAUACAAUGCUACAAAGAUAUGCAGCCAUGUAAAUCUACAAUGUUUAUUACACAAUUACGCAAAGCAUCAUCAUUAAAACAAAUAAGUAUAAAUGUACAAAGAUUAAGUAAUAGGUGAUAAGACACAGUAGGAAGGAGUUUACAAUCUAAGUGAAAUGUGCUUGCUCUCUCAGAACAAAACAAAGGGUAUCUGAUAUAAUUGAGAAACAGUGCUUUUACUAUUGGUUGUUCAAAUGAUAAUUCCAGGGUUCCCACAGAAGGUUUUAACUCUGAGCACCAGAAGACACACAAUCCCAACUCUAAGGGGGUGAUUUAUCAAUGUUCAAAUUGGAAUUUUUGCCACAAUUCAAAUUUUUUGCACAAAAACUCACAAAUUCAAAUUAUAUUAAAAAAAAAUUGAGUGAUUGGUAUUUAUUAAGCACAAAAAACUCAAAUGUAUAACUUUGGCAUCUAAAAGCUUGCGAAAUCUUGUUGAAGUGGGGGUUGUCAUAGGCAAAAUUCAAGCUAUUUUUUUAAUUCGAGAUUUUUGAGUUUUUUAAGCUUAGAAACUUACAAAAUUAGUUUUUCGAGUUUUUUUUAGCUUAUAAACACAAUUCACAGUUUUGUUGCGUUGUAAGCUCACAAAUUCUAAUUUUUCAAUUUUUUUUCAAUCAAGGUUUUUACAUUCAGCUUUUUUAAUAAAUAGACAUUCAGGUUUUUUAAUUUGUGAGUUUAUUCGAAGGAGAAAAAGACUCUAAAAUCUCACAAAUUUGAUUUCUGAUAAAGUCCAUAACAAUGACCCCAACAUGGGUGAGCAAUUAAGUUUGUUAAGACAUAUUAUAUGCUGUUGUUGCCAGAAAACUCUGAGCUACUGAGGAAAAGUGCUAUAUUGUUGGUAAAAAAAAAAGACAUGGGGAUUUGCACCCAAAUAUUGCACUUUGCACCCUGCACUGCAUUGGUAAAUCACUCUUAAUUUGAAUUCACCUCCAUAUGUUCUGAUUAAAAUUAUUUAGCAGACCUGGGAAAAGCAUCUAUUAUUCAUUUAUUUUCAGUUUAUUGUCACAAAUUACCUAAAUAACUAACAAUAUGUCCAUAUUGGACAAGUCAAUACAACUUCAGAUCAGGGCCAAACAUGAGUUUCUGAAAUACUCUUAAAAAGUGCAGAUGUGAUGUAGGCAUAUGGCUAGUGCCUCAAAGUACAUUAGUCAGGGAUGUAGGCACAAUUUACCAAGUGACUUUUGCUAAAUAUGUGGCAAAUGAUCAGGAACCAAUUUUUGCCAUGGGAUAUGCACGGUCUUAGCAAGCCUGGGCAAUAAUAUUACCAUGUGGGUAAAAAUGGCAUGACACAAUGAAUACCAUAUCCACCAUUAUAACAGGUGAUUAUUUCAGAAACAGUGUGAGGAUUCCUAGAUCCAAACGGAGCAAAGGGGACUUUUUAAACCAUAUCACUUUCACCCACUUUUUACAUGUAUGGGUGUUAUUUUCAUUACCCCUGAUUAUGUAGCUUUUGCCUGAAGACCUUAGUGCAAGCAGUUCCCAAAUUGUACUACGGCAUAUGUUGCUAAUGUGAAGUUCCUACUAUUUGCCUAUACACUGUCAUGGAGUACAGAUUUAGUUUAGUGCUAAUUUAGAAGGCCAUGGGUCUCUGACAGCCACAUGUACUAAUUAUACAGUUAUUAAAAUGGAAAAGAAUUACUCAUAACACUGGAAAGUUAAUGGUAUUAGCCAGAACUUGCCCAGGACUCUAAAGAUUGCCUUAGGAUUGGGAAGUAACCCCAAUUCAACAGUCACUAACUUUGCUUUGUGUAGAUUGCAGUUUGAAGUGGCUGUGCAACCACUUGACAAAUGGGUGCCAAAACCGACGACAUCCCAGAAGUACACUAAACAUUUGAAUUUGUGGUCCCAUUAGCAAAGGGAUACUACCAUAAGGGUAAAA